CAGAAAAUUACGGGCAAAAGCCUAAAACUCAAAAGACUUGACGGUGCCACAAUCUACCUAGAGGAGCCUGUUCCAUAAUCGACAACCCACGAUAGACCUAACCACCCCUAGAUUCACCAGCCUAUAUACCGCCGUCGCCAGCUUACCUUUUAAAAGCUUUAAAGUAAGCCAAAUAGUAUAAUACUAACAAGUCAGGUCAAGGUGUAGCUUAUGAGGUGGAGGAAAUGGACUACAUUAUUUAAACUAAAUGACACGGAUAUCUUCAUGAAAUAAAAAGAAUGAAGGCGGAUUUAGCAGUAACUUAAACAAGAAUAUUUAACUUAACACCAGCUCUGAGACAUGUACACA
rnacentral:rRNA from 1 species